UUUCCGUAGGUGAACCUGCGGAAGGAUCAUUACCAAAUCCAAAUACCCAAACCCCAUGUGAACUAUUGUUUGUUGUCCUUGGGGGAAAUAAAGAAUAAAGUGCCUUAUUGUUCUUUACGCGGACUUCCCCCCAAAAGAAUCCGGCACUCCGGUGUUUCGUGAUUCUUGAAAAACCAAAUUUUUUUUUUUUGGAAUGACUUUUUUAUUUAAUUAAUAAAAAGACAACUUUUAACGGUGGAUCUCUUGGCUCGU
rnacentral:misc_RNA from 1 species